GGGGUAGGAGUGGAAGAAUCAGAGUGUUUCUUUGAAAAUUGGCUUGAUGUGUCUGUCCAAGGGUCAUCUGGAGGAAAAAAUACAAGUAUAUCUUCAAACAAGUAGCUGAACCCACAGAUUUAUGUGACCAACGAAGCCUGAGCCUUUUGCUUCACGAUGCAGUCCAGAUCCCUCGGCAGCUGGGUGAGGUAGCUUCAUUUGGAGGCAGCACCAUUGAACCAAGUGUCCGCAGUUGCUUCCAACAUGCACUCAGACAUGAACUAAUGGAUAAGGAGGAGACAAUCAUAACUGCUUUGGAUUCAGCCCAUAGAAGGGCCAGAGGAGCCGCGCUGACACCUUCAUGUUUAAACAG